GGGAGGCGCGGCGGCGAUACCGGCGCGGAGGGCUCCCGCGCUCCGCCAAUCACAGGCGCUGCUCGGAGCCAGGCUGCUGCCAGUGGCGGCGGCGGGGGCCGCGGCGGGCCGGAGAGAGACCUUGCGGCUGGGUUUUCGGGCGCCCGGCGAGGGCCCGGUGCCGGGCAAUGGGCACCGUGCCGUCAGCGCUGAAGCACUGCCUCAGCUACCAGCACCUCCUCAAGGAGCAGCUGUGGAUCGGAGAGCAAGCCCCGCCGCCGCCUGCGGCUCCGCACCCCGGGCAGGAAUCUCAAGCAUCUGGACUGCCUGCCUACAUAAAGAUUGUAGAAGUUGGGCCAAGGGAUGGAUUACAAAACGAAAAGGUGAUAGUCCCAACUGAUAUCAAAAUCGAGUUAAUCAACCGGCUUUCCAAAACAGGCCUUCCUGCAAUAGAAGUGACCAGUUUUGUUUCAUCCAAAUGGGUGCCUCAGAUGGCAGAUCAUAAAGAAGUAAUGAGGGGCAUUGAACGGCAUCCUGGAGUCCAGUAUCCUGUUCUUACGCCUAAUCUUCAUGGUUUUCAUGCUGCUAUUGCAGCGGGGGCCACAGAAGUCUCAGUAUUUGGUGCAGCAUCUGAAACAUUUAGCAAAAUGAAUAUUAAUUGUUCAAUUGAAGAAAGCAUAGAAAAAUUUGAAGAUGUUGCUAAAUCUGCAAGGAAUAUGAAUAUUCCAGUGCGUGGGUAUGUGUCAUGUGCAUUGGGAUGCCCAUAUGAAGGAAACAUCAUACCAGCUAAAGUGGCAGAAGUAUCUAAGCGGCUGUACAGUAUGGGAUGUUACGAAAUCUCCCUGGGGGAUACAAUUGGUGUGGGGACUCCUGGAAGCAUGAAAAGAAUGCUGGAAGCUGUUAUGAAAGAAAUUCCUUUGUGUGCUCUUGCUGUUCACUGUCAUGACACAUAUGGCCAGGCAUUAGCCAAUAUCCUCACAGCCAUACAGAUGGGAGUUGCUGUAGUGGAUUCAUCUGUUGCAGGACUGGGUGGUUGUCCCUAUGCAAAAGGUGCUACUGGGAAUGUAGCCACAGAGGAUGUGAUAUACAUGCUUAAUGGUCUCGGGAUCAACACAGGAGUAAAUCUUUAUACAGUGAUGGAAGCUGGAAACUUCAUCUGUACAGCUUUGAACAAGAAAACAAAUUCAAAGGUUGCGCAAGCUUCCUUCACUACUGGAACUGUCAAUUAAAUUAAUGUUUUUUGCCACUUAAUUGCAUUCUUCAUCUAUCUUGACCAAGGACAUUUAUAUCAAGAAACAAAUAUAAGAAAAUAAUUUCAGCAAAGAACCAAAAUAGAACCCAUAUAUAACUUUUUCUUAUGGGAAGAGUUAUUGCUCUCUACUGUCUUGUCAAGAAUUAUCUGAUUUGUAAGUAAGAAAUAAAUGACUGUAGUACAGAACCUUGUGCUUGGAACUUCUACAGAUGAGAAAAAUAUUGUGAAAUGUCUGGAGAAUGGACUGAACAGAAGAAUCAAUCUGGAGAAGUGAAUGAAAGACACCUUCCAGUUCUUGACUUACUGGUCAAUGCUUUUCUUAUGUUAUAUUUUUGAAGAUUUUUUUUUUUCUCUAUGGUCCUGCUCUAAUGCAGUGUUAGUCUUCAUUUCUGCAAUAACACUGCAGGCCGAAGGACUACAGCCAAAGUCAACUUAGUCCUUUGAAACCGAUGUAAGAGAGAUUAUGUGUUUGUUAAGGAAUUAUCAUGUACUCUCUUGGUUAAAUGCAUUUGUGAUUUUGCAAUAUGUGGUGUUAAAGCUGAAAUAAAAUAUAUCUCAGUGUUUACUGAAA